GCCAGCAGCCAUAUCACACUGCAACUCACAACUGGCAACCCACUGAAGCUAAGCAGGUGUGAGCCUGGUCAGUACCUGGAUGGGAGACCUCCUGGGAAAAACUAAGGUUGCUGCUGGAA
ensembl:rRNA 5S_rRNA 5S ribosomal RNA